UAUUGUUUUUGUUUAUGGAUUUUCUUCCCAGAACUGAGAGUAAGUUCCAGUAUUUUUCCAGGAUUUCUAGAUUAUACAAUAGAUUUCAAAAAACAGGUAGUAUGCAUAUGUGAUAGCUCUCCUAGGACAAAAAUCACACUCUGUGUAUUCAGCACAGAGAGCCCAGGGCCAGAAUCUAGUGAUUGGUGGGUCAUGCUGACCCUGCAUGUCAAAUAGGUUUGAUUUCAGAUGAAUCAGAAGGAACAAACCUAAUUACAGGGAGGUCAUAUUUCACUCUCUCUUUACUGUCCUUCCCAGAAUUUCCUGUCUGUCUUUCAAUACCUUUUCCUGACUUUUCUCCUGGAACGCUGCAGAAACACAGCAUCAAGGGUAUGGUUUUUAUGGGGUGGAUUCCAAACAUUUCCACAACAUGCACAGUUAGCUUCACUGAAGCUUACUGUAGCGUUAGUCCAAGGAGUCUGGGCUGAGCUUUGGUGCCUUCGCUGUAACAGGCCAUCUGUCAAGUACUGGCUUGGACUGACGAAGUGACUUCAACCAACCAGAUCUAAGCCUCAAAAUCAGAGACCACCAAAUGUUUUAAAGAGAUGCAAAGGCAUGAAUGAAGAUAAAGAAUUGAAGGUGACAUCCGGCUGAUAGUUAGCAAGAAUGAGAGAGAGAGAGAAGAGGAGAUGUCUGCUAGGUGCUCGUGACGGGUGUUACAGCCGGCGCCGGUGGAGCCGUGCAGAGGUCCUCAGCCAAGGGACCCAUCCCGCUUUCAGCGAGGCUGGCGUUCGCUGUAGCACCUUGGUUCCGUACUCACCGAGACCCAGACUGAGCAGAAACAGCAGCGAAGGAGAUCUGGCCAUUUGCUCCUAGUGGUGAUGGUCCUCGA